rnacentral:SRP_RNA from 1 species
GGUGGGGGCCUGACCGACGGGAAGGUAUGAACCUGGUCAGGCCGGAAGGUGCAGCCAUAAGUACUGUACCGGGCGGCUCAGGGCACCCCCAUCCCG